rnacentral:rRNA from 1 species
GGACUACCGGGGUAUCUAAUCCUGUUCGCUCCCCAUGCUUUCGCUCCUCAGCGUCAGUAGCGGCCCAGAGACCCGCCUUCGCCACCGGUGUUCCUCCUGAUAUCUGCGCAUUCCACCGCUACACCAGAGAAUUCCAGUCUCCCCUACCGCACUCUAGCCUGCCCGUACCGAAAGCAAUCCCAAGGUUAAGCCUUGGAAUUUCACUCCCGACGCGACAGGCCGCCUACGAGCCCUUUACGCCCAAUAAAUCCGGACAACGCUUGCACCCUACGUAUUACCGCGGCUGCUGGCAC